rnacentral:rRNA from 1 species
UACGUAGGGCGCAAGCGUUGUCCGGAAUUAUUGGGCGUAAAGAGCUCGUAGGCGGCUUGUCACGUCGGGGUGUGAAAGACCGGGGCUUAACCCCGGUUCUGCAUUCGAUACGGGCUAGCUAGAGUGUGGUAGGGGAGAUCGGAAUUCCUGGUGUAGCGGUGAAAUGCGCAGAUAUCAGGAGGAACACCGGUGGCGAAGGCGGAUCUCUGGGCCAUUACUGACGCUGAGGAGCGAAAGCGUGGGGAGCAAACAGG